UCUUUAGAAGAUUCUGCACAUAAAUCAAAGAAUGCAUUUCAUUGUCUUUCUGAGGUUUGUAAUCCUCUCUUUUAAGGGGGCUCCUUAAGGUGGAUUUAUCUAAAAGUUUCACCAGAAUGGCCAUUACAAUUCCAAAUUCUUCAAAAGGUUAUGCAUUUUUCAAGAAAGGCACAAGAUGCUGGUUAAAGAGCCAGGUGGACCCUAACCUGCCUUUGGAUUCCCUAAAAUGUCUUAAGUAUGAGAGGCCUUAUUUUUGAACAACUAUUCUAAAACGAUGUGAGUCACGUGUUUUCCUCCCUUUUGAGUACAAUGAGUAACUUACCAGGAAGCUUUAAACAACAGAAACAAAAGCAUACUCACCAGGAAGGGUGAUGCCUUCAUAAAAACAAAAACAGAUCCCAAAUAAACCCAGAGAGCUCACACACAAUACAAAGAGAGCAGAGCUCAAAACCUAAAAGGGACUCACAGCCAGUUAUUUUACCAGCAAAAUGAGUUUCUUCAGGAAUAGCAGAGGAAUUGCAAUUUGGGACAAGCAAACUAUGGCAAAACAAUGGCGAGUCCAAAGACACAGAAGGAAGGAGAUAAAAUUCCUGUGAAGAUGUCUUACCUUGUCAAGAUAAGAGUUCUCUCCCUUCUGCUGGUUAUGCAGGCUGCAAGGAGUGAUUAUUUGACAGAGUACAAGCAGGGGGAGCAGCAUACGGAGAGGGAGAAGCAGACUCUCUACUGAGCAGGGAGCCUGAUGCGGGGCUCGAUCCCAGGACCCCAGGAUCAUGACCUGAGCCAAAGCUGUUGAGAGUCGGCAGGAUAAACGCUAACUGGCCGGACUGCUGCAGCUGAGAGAUGGUGGGACAUCCGACGAAAGCUGACAGAAGGGAAGAAGCCUCACCACCACAUCACCUACUGGAUCUCUGCCUGCACGGGCUCAAUUUAGGUAGAUCAGCUAUGUCUCCUGGUCUUGGCAGUGAUGACUUGCUCCCUGUGAGGCCAGCUAAGCUGUGGGAACUGUGGGUGUAAGGCUGUGGAAGAUCUUUUCUGCCAGUGUUUGGGUCAUUUUCGGAGUUCGUUGUAAUAGAUGCCUCAGUGUGUGCGUGACGCAAGAUUUAAAGAAACUUUCUCUUAAGCUGAUUUACACUUUUGCAAGCAGAAUUCAAACACUUCUCCUUACCUAAUCCCUUCAGAAUUUGGAAACUGGUCCCCAAAAUAUCCUGAGGUUCUGCACCUGCCUGGAAGUGGCCUUCCUUUACUUACCUGGUAAGGAUGUUGAAAUCCCUGUCAGCCAGGUAUCACACUGAUAUUUCCAAGGCAUGUUAUUGGCUCCAUAAAGUUAACCUUAGUUCCUUAAAGCUGUCUGGUCAUAUCUGAGCCUAUGCAGAUCUCAAAUAUGACAUUCCUGUCAAAACCUUAGAUUCUAAUUGAGCAUAAAUACAUAUAUUUCCAUGUGUGUAUAAAAUGACUCACUGAGAGUUUCCAAAUUCUGGGGGAAUCAGGUAGGCAGAAGAUCAUUAUUUCAAUUUUGCUCACAAAGGUAUAAUUUACCAAAUUGCUGAGGAAAGGUUUUCCUACAUCUGGAAAAGAAGGUUAAAAAAAAUUUCAAACAAAAAGUCAUAAAAAUUGUAAUUCUCCAUUUAUUCAGUCCCAUUUGUAAUUCUGUUGAUUUUGAUCUUGUUUUAUAAAGCUAUGGGUUUCUCCAUUAGAGUUCUCUAAAUUCCUAUACUCAGUUCAAAUGGUAUGAUCUUAAGUUAUUAGAGACCUGUAAUCUAGAGAUUCAUCAGUCUUUUCCCUGAAUCUCCUUGAAGAUGAAGCACUUUUGCAAAAGCAUCAAGGUAAAACAGCUGUCUGUAAAUGACAAAAAGGCUUAGAAAUGGUAAUGAUUAAAGAUCUGAUUAGCAUUCAUUACAAUGCAAUUGCAAAGAAAUUGGGUUAUUUCUAUGAUGCUCAGCACUUCAAGAUAAUAGAAUUAUACAACAUAGAUUAUAUAAUAUACCCAGACGUUUCUAGAAUACUUAAUUAUAUUUAUGGAAAUAUAAUCUAAGAAAGUUUAGCAUCACUUAUUUGACAAUGAUUCCCCUGUAACUUAAUUAACAUCUUUCUUUUAUGAGGAGGACAAAGCUUUGAAAUCUUCCAGGGAGGGGUGCCUGGGUGGCUCAGUCGGUUAAGCGUCUGCCUUCAGCUCAGGUCAUGAUCCCAGGGUCCUGGGAUUGAGUCCCGCAUUGGGCGCCCUGCUCAGUGGAGAGCCUGAUUCUCCCUCUGCCUACUUGUGCUCUUUAUCAAAUAAAUAAAUAAAAUCUACCAGGGAUCCUCUGGGAAAUUGCAAACUCAAUAAGACUUCAUUUUAGAAUUUCAUUUUGGGAGGUUUGUCAAAAAAAUACAAAAUUCAGACUUUUCAUUAAAGAAUCACAGAUCACUAUAAAAUAAUAGUUAUCCAUUUAACUAUAGUUUUUCCUAAGUAAUCAAAGACUUGAAGGGUGCCUGGGUGGCUCAGUUGGUUAAGCGACUGCCUUCGGCUCAGGUCAUGAUCCUGGAAUCCCAGGAUCGAGUCCCGCAUCGGGCUCCCUGCUUGGGAGGGAGUCUGCUUCUCUCUCUGAACCUCUCUCCUCUCAUGCUCUCUAUCUCUUUCUCUCUCUCAAAAAAAAAAAAAAAAGACAAAGAUAAAACAGACUUUUUCUAGAUAGAUUACAUUAAAAGUUAAACCCCUUUGUUUAUAAUUUAUUAAAAGCAGAAUAAAUUCUGUACUAGCUUUUUAUAUUAAAAUUUAAAUAAAUCAUUUUAAUCUGAUCCAGCAUGGCCAUAUGUUAAAAUUCAUUUUAAAGAUUCCUUGUUCACAAAUGUUUUAAGACUUUUUUUCACAUUUAGUCUCACUUUCAGAUCUCUUUAUCAAAAACACAUGUCCUACUUUUCUUGCAUAUGGAGUUUCCCCUUAUUUUUAGUAGUUCUAAAUCACAGAAACUUUAUAGUGAAAAAUAAGUUGUAAGCAAUUGUGAACUGUUAGAUUGGCAAAUUAUGAAUAUAUUCAUACAUUUCUAGAAAUGUGCUGCUUCAUAACAAUCUUCCAAUAAAAGUUUUUUCUACCAAAAGACUCUUUACUAGAGACUCAAGUUUGUGAUAGGGAAGCCAAAAGAAUAGAUUAACAUAUCAGUAAUUAAUGUUUUAUUCUAUCUUAUUGGUAAAUAAAUUAAUAUCUAGAUGAACUCAUCACUUAGCAAAGCUUUAAGGUUUCAGGCUACCAAAAAGACUUUGUGGAGAAACUAUUUUAAAAGUUUAUUUACAAAGUCAGCCACUCUUUCAUGUUUUCUGUUGUAGAAAAAUUCUAUAACCUGAUCAAACUUCCAGGGAAGAUGUCAGAGUAGGAGGAUCCUAGGCUUACGUCAUCCCCUGGAUAUACCAGGAUUACACACACAUCACUGUAAAUACCCCAGAAAACCACAUAAGGACUGACAGAACAGACUUUUCAUAGUUGAUCUUAGAUAAGCCACAUUAAGAAUGCCUAGAUACAUGGACACCUAUGGGGACAAGCCCAAACCCCACCCCCCCUUUCUCCUAUGAAUCUGCCCCCAUCCAACCAGCCACACUGGGCAGGAGUUCCUCCAAAACAGCUCCAGGCAUUUUUCCACAGCAGGGUUCUUCCUACAAGCAGAUGGGUGCAAACUUUGCCUACACUGUACAUCCCGCCCUUGUGUUCUCCUGCAGACUGUCCCAUCCGACCCACCCAAGAAUCCAUCCAAAGUGGCACCACAAGCAUGGCAGUGUGCAAGCAGCCCUGAGAGGGGCCAGCACCAUUCCCAAGUGCCUUAGGGAAAGUGGAAGAUAACCAUACACACUAGUUUGCAGCCCCAGCAGUGGGCUUGGGGCAGAUAUCUGGUCCGACUGCAGGUCCCACCCACCACCAAACGCCUCUCAGGGGACAAUGCUGGGAGAGCACCCUGCAGUUCAGUGCAGCCACAGUUCUGGCAAAUGAGCUGAGGGCAGGCAUCUGGUCUGCCCCAACUCAAGCCCAUUGUGGCCCCAGACUGGCCCCUUUUAACAUAGGGACCAAACCCUGCCCAUAACAGGCAAAGAGACAUUGCAGAUAACUGGACUGAAGUUAAAUGCAUCCCAACCACAACAGUAGGGUACACACAAUACGCAUAGCAGAUAACCCUGAAACAUUAGGUUCUGCUGCCUAGGAGAUAUCACAUUGCAGGGCACCACAGGACCUCUUCUUCAUAAGACCACUGAUUUCAAAAGCAGGAAACAUAGCUGAAUUUCCUAACACAUAGAAAGACAGAAAGUUAGACAAAAUGAGGAGACAGAGGAAUAUGUUCCAAAUGAAAGCACAAGACAAACUCACAGAAAGAGAACUUAACAUAAAGGAGAUAAGCAAUAUGCCAGAUAGAGAAUUCAAAGUAAUGGUCAUAAAGAUACCUACUGGACUUGAGAAAAGAGUGAGGGAAUCUCAGAAAAUAUUAAAAAGAACCACUCAGAGAUGAACUCAAUAAGUGAAAUUAAAAAUACACUAGAUGGAAUAAAUAGUGGACUAGAGGAAGCAAAAGGAAUGGAUCGGUGACCUAGAGGACAGAGUAAUGGAAAACUAAAUGGAAUGAGAAAAAGAAAAAAUAUUAGAAAAUGAGAAUAGGUUAAGGGAACACAGUGACACCAUCAAGUAUAAUAACAUGCAUAUUAUAGGGAUCAUAGAAGAAGAGAGAAAGGGGGCAGAAAAUUUAUUUCAAGAAAUAGCUGAGGGCGCCUGGGUGGCUCAGUUGGUUAAGCGACUGCCUUCGGCUCAGGUCAUGAUCCUGGAGUCCCUGGAUCGAGUCCCGCAUCGGGCUCCUUGCUUGGUAGGGAGUCUGCCUCUUCCUCCUCCCUCUCAUGCUCUCUGUCUCUCAUUCUCUCUCUCUCAAAUAAAUAAAUAAAAUCUUAAAAAAAAAAAAAAAGAAAUAGCUGAAAACUUCCCUCAUCUGGGGAAGACAACAAAUCCAGAUCCAGGAGGCACAGAAAGCCCCCAACAAAAUCAACCUAAGGAGGUCCACACCAAGACACAUAAUAGUUAAAACAGCAAAAAAUACUGAUAAAGAAUUGUAAAAGUAGCAAGAGGGGUGCCUGGGUGGCUUAGUAGGUUAAGCGUCUGCCUUUGGCUUGAGUCAUGAUCUCGGGGUCCUGGAAUCAAGCCUUUAUUGGGCCCUCUGCUCAUCAGGGAGUCUCCUUCUCCUUCUCCCCCUGCUCAUGAUCUCUCUCUCAUAAAUGAAUAAAAUCUUUAAAAAGAUGUUCUCUAUUUUUUUUUUUAAAGAUUUUAUUUAUUUAUUUGACAGAGACACAGCGAGAGAGGGAACACAAGCAGGGGGAGUGGGAGAGGGAGAAGCAGGCUGCCCGCUGAGCAGGGAGCCCGAUGUGGGGCUCGAUCCCAGGACCCUGAGAUCAUGACCUGAGCCGAAGGCAGACAUUUAACGGCUGAGCCACCCAGGCACCCCAAAAAGAUGUUCUCUAUUAAAAAAAAAAAGUAGCAAGAGAAAACAGUUACAUACAAGGGAAACCCCACAAGAC